rnacentral:rRNA from 1 species
AGAGUUUGAUCCUGGCUCAGGAUGAACGCUGGCGGUAUGCUUAACACAUGCAAGUCGAACGGACGUUUUCGGACAUUAGUGGCGGACGGGUGAGUAACGCGUGAGAAUCUAGCUUCAGGUUGGGGACAACAGUUGGAAACGACUGCUAAUACCGAAUAUGCCGAGAGGUGAAAGAUUAAUUGCCUGAAGAAGAGCUCGCGUCUGAUUAGCUAGUUGGUGGGGUAAGAGCUUACCAAGGCGACGAUCGGUAGCUGGUCUGAGAGGACGAUCAGCCACACUGGGACUGAGACACGGCCCAGACUCCUACGGGAGGCAGCAGUGGGGAAUUUUCCGCAAUGGGCGAAAGCCUGACGGAGCAAUACCGCGUGAGGGAAGAAGGCUCUUGGGUUGUAAACCUCUUUUCUUAGGGAAGAAAAAAAUGACGGUACCUAAGGAAUAAGCAUCGGCUAACUCCGUGCCAGCAGCCGCGGUAAUACGGAGGAUGCAAGCGUUAUCCGGAAUGAUUGGGCGUAAAGCGUCCGCAGGUGGUUUAUCAAGUUUGCGGUUAAAGGUUCUGGCUCAACCAGAGACAGGCCGUGAAAACUGAUAGACUAGAGUAUGGUAGGGGCAGAGGGAAUUCCCAGUGUAGCGGUGAAAUGCGUAGAGAUUGGGAAGAACACCGGUGGCGAAAGCGCUCUGCUAGGCCAAAACUGACACUGAGGGACGAAAGCUAGGGGAGCGAAUGGGAUUAGAUACCCCAGUAGUCCUAGCCGUAAACGAUGGAUACUAGGUGUAGCUUGUAUCGACCCAAGCUGUGCCGUAGCUAACGCGUUAAGUAUCCCGCCUGGGGAGUACGCGCGCAAGCGUGAAACUCAAAGGAAUUGACGGGGGCCCGCACAAGCGGUGGAGUAUGUGGUUUAAUUCGAUGCAACGCGAAGACCUUACC